AUUGAACGCUGGCGGCAUGCUUUACACAUGCAAGUCGAACGGUAACAGGGAGCUUGCUCCGCUGACGAGUGGCGAACGGGUGAGUAAUGCGUCGGAACGUGCCGAGUAGUGGGGGAUAACGCAUCGAAAGGUGUGCUAAUACCGCAUACGUACUGAGGUAGAAAGUGGGGGACCUUCGGGCCUCACGCUAUUCGAGCGGCCGACGUCUGAUUAGCUAGUUGGGGAGGUAAAGGCUCACCAAGGCGACGAUCAGUAGCGGGUCUAAGAGGAUGGGCCGCCACACUGGGACUGAGACACGGCCCGUACUCCUGCGGGAGGCAGCAGUGGGGAAUUUUGGACAAUGGGCGCAAGCCUGCACCAGCCAUGCCGCGUGUCUGAAGAAGUCCUUCUGGUUGUAAAGGACUUUUGUCCGGGAGCAAAUGCCUGGUGUUAAUAGCACUGGGAGCUGAGAGUACCGGAAGAAUAAGCACCGGUUAACUACGUGCCAGCAGCCGCCGCCGUAA
rnacentral:rRNA from 1 species